AGUCAUGAAUCAAUUUCUUUUUGUUGUGCGUUGGUGGUAAUUGUGAUACAUGAUCUGUGGCUCCACUGUCCACUAUCCAAUAUAAAGUUGAAUGUGUAUUAAAAUUAUCACAAUUGGGUGCAGCGAUACCUGUUGCGUUUGCAAAUGGUUGAUUGUUACCGUUUUUCAGUAAUGCCAUGAUUUGCUUAUACUCUUCAGCUGUGAAGGUUGGGCUUUCAUUAGUCGAUUCCCUCUUCAUCUCAAUGUUAUUGAUUGUUGUCUUCUUGUUUCUUGGCUUCAUGUUUUUUCCAUGCCAUUUGUGGCCAAUUGGAAACCCAAUUAGAUAAUAACAUUGAUCAACCAAAUGUCCUCCUUGCUCACAGUGAGUGCAGAACUUCCUGCUGCCAAACGAAGUCACCGUCUGUGAUCCUCCCCGUCGUGCAACCUGCAUCGCAUGGGAGGCCGGCACAAUGGAAUUGCGUGCUGCUACCUCCAUUUGCCUCUCUUGUUGGAGAAUAAGGCCAUGGGUUCUUCGUGUAUCGGGUAGGGGGUUCAUCAUCAAGAUCGACCCACGGAUUUGGGAAUAGGGUUCGUUAAGCCCCAUUAAAAAUUGCAUCACCUUCUCCUUCUCUUCUCUGUCAGCAAGCUUUUUCAGCAUGUCGCAAGAGCAAGGGAUGGGUUCCUGAUUCUGGAUUCGUCUCCUUGGGAAAAUCUGUCUUUGAGGUCGUUCCAAAUUACGGCUGCCGCAUCUGAGUAGAUGACGCUACGAGCUAUCUCUGGUUGAACAGAAUUGAGGAUCCAGGACACCACCAGAUCAUUGCAGCAUUGCCAUAAUGGAAAUUUUGCAUCAUUUGUUGGUGGAGCUUCUAUGGAUCCAUCGAUGAGACCAAGUUUGUUUUUGGCGCUGAGGCUGCGACGCAUUGAACGACACCAUUCCCCAUAGUUGCGUCCAUUCAAAAGUGUGCUGACCAGGGUGAGUCCUGGUGUGUCUGAAUGAUGUAGAGCCAAAGGGUCAGGUAAGAAAAUUCCUCUCUCUUCUCUGUUUUGUGGUGUGAAAUCUGUGGAUUUGUCUAGGAUUUCAGUUGUGUUGAUUCCUGUGUUGGCCAUGUUGUCAAUACAAUGGUGUUUGUGAUUUGGUUGUAGCGGAAGAUGUUAGGCUAGAGACACCAGAACCAGCGCUCUGAUACCAUAAACGAAAUAGCAGAAUAAUAAUUGAAAAUAACAGAGUAAUGAAAAAGGGGUUGUAUAUUGCAGUGAGUGUAUUUGUACAGAAUGGCUAGCCAUUAUAUAGAGACAGAUUCGAACUAUUCUAGGAAUGUCAACUAUACAUUAAAAUGAUCCUAAGAUCAUGCUAGGCUGAUCUGGUGCAUUGAUCCCGAUCCACAAUUUUCUCCUUAAUGAGAUUCAUUUCCUUUUAA